GUCUGCAGCCAUGAGAUCAAGCCUGAACAUACUUGAUCUCAUCUGAUCUCAGAAGCUAAGCUAAGCAGGUCAGGCCUGGUUAGUACUUAGAUGGGAGACUGCCUGGGGAUAUUUGGUGCUGUAGGCU
ensembl:rRNA 5S_rRNA 5S ribosomal RNA